rnacentral:rRNA from 1 species
GAUGAACGCUAGCUACAGGCUUAACACAUGCAAGUCGAGGGACCGGCGCACGGGGGAGUAACACGUAUCCAACCUGCCCUUUACUCGGGGAUAGCCUUUCGAAAGAAAGAUUAAUACCCGAUGUAAAGGAUGGGGAUGCGUUCCAUUAGGUUGUUGGUGAGGUAACGGCUCACCAAGCCUUCGAUGGAUAGGGGUUCUGAGAGGAAGGGCCCCCACAUUGGGACUGGGACACGGUCCAAACUCCUACGGGAGGCAGCAAUGAGGGAUAAUGGUCAAUGGGCGUGAGCCUGAACCGGCCCAGUAGCGUGGAGGAUGAAGGCUUAUGGGGCGUAAACUUCUUUUAUAAAAGAAUAUGUAUUAUAUGAAUAAGGAUCGGCUAACUCCGUGCCAGCAGCCGCGGUAAUUC